ACAUCCCUCACAAAUGGAGGCAACAUCAGUUGCAACUCGUAGUCUGAACUUUGGUUCAGCACCCUGCUCAGCCUCACUUGGGUCUGCUGGACCAACCAUUACUCUUGACCUCACAAAACCUAAGUCCAGCAACAAUGAUGCCAGAAGUUCAAAAUCAAGAAUGGAAACUACUCCUGAGAUCAGGCAGUUCUUGGUGGAACACAUGGCCUCGUCCUUGACCAAAGAUCCCAAUUUCACAGCAGCACUAGC
rnacentral:misc_RNA from 1 species